AAGUCGUAACAAGGUUUCCGUAGGUGAACCUGCGGAAGGAUCAUUAACACGUAUCCACGUAUCCACCCAUGCGCACUGACGUUGUCAGCCUCCCUCGAGGCGCCAUGAAUUGGAAGAGAAUGCAGAUCGGAGUGGAGCUCAGCAAUGGGCUCGUCUGCACCUCCCAUGACACAAUUGUAGGCGCUCUCGGGAUUCAUUCUGGCCGUGCGGACCCACACAACGGGACUGCGCGGUUGGACCACUAUUAACCAAUCUCACCCCACUUUUGCUAGUUGACUUUAUCUAUGUGACUCGCCAUACUCCGGUAUGCGGAUCCACGUUUAUUUACUUAAACAAUAAAACAACUCUUAGCAAUGGAUAUCUUGGUUCUC
rnacentral:misc_RNA from 1 species